GGCCACGUGCGCAGAGCGAGCGCCUGCUGCCUCCCCGCCCCUCCCGCAACACUCGACCCCAGGAUUCCCCCGGCUCGUCUGCCCGCCAUGGCCGACAUGGAAGCAGCGUUCGACGACGCAGUGGAAGAACGAGUGAUCAACGAGGAAUACAAAAUAUGGAAACAGAACACCCCUUUUCUUUAUGAUUUGGUGAUGACCCAUGCUCUGGAGUGGCGCAGCCUAACUGCCCAGUGGCUUCCAGAUGUCACCAGACCAGAAAGGGAAAGAUUUUAGCAUUCAUGGACUUGUCCUGGGGACACACACAUGGGAUGAACAAAACCAUCUUGUUAUAGCCAGUGUGCAACUCCCUAAUGAUGAUGCUCAGUUUGAUGUGUCGCACUACGACAGUGAGAAAGGAGAAUUUGGAGGUUUUGGUUCAGUUAGUGGAAAAAUUGAAAUAGAAAUCAAGAUCAACCAUGAAGGAGAAGUAAACAGGGCCCGUUAUAUGCCCCAGAACCCUUGUAUCAUCGCAACAAAGACUCCUUCCAGUGAUGUUCUUGUCUUUGACUAUACAAAACAUCCUUCUAAACCAGAUCCUUCUGGAGAGUGCAACCCAGACUUGCAUCUCCGUGGACAUCAAAAGGAAGGCUAUGGGCUUUCUUGGAACCCAAAUCUCAGUGGGCACUUACUCAGUGCUUCCGAUGACCACACCAUCUGCCUGUGGGACAUCAGUGCCGUUCCAAAGGAGGGAAAAGUGGUGGAUGCGAAGACCAUCUUUACAGGGCAUACAGCAGUAGUAGAAGAUGUUUCCUGGCAUCUGCUCCAUGAGUCUCUGUUUGGGUCAGUUGCUGAUGAUCAGAAACUUAUGAUUUGGGAUACUCGUUCAAACAGUACUUCCAAACCAAGCCACUCAGUUGACGCUCACAAUGCUGAAGUGAACUGCCUUUCUUUCAAUCCUUUUAGUGAGUUCAUUCUUGCCACAGGAUCAGCUGACAAGACUGUUGCCUUGUGGGAUCUGAGAAAUCUGAAACUUAAGUUGCAUUCCUUUGAGUCACAUAAGGAUGAAAUAUUCCAGGUUCAGUGGUCACCUCACAAUGAGACUAUUUUGGCUUCCAGUGGUACUGAUCGCAGACUGAAUGUCUGGGAUUUAAGUAAAAUUGGAGAGGAACAAUCCCCAGAAGAUGCAGAAGACGGGCCACCAGAGUUGUUGUUUAUUCAUGGUGGUCACACUGCCAAGAUAUCUGAUUUCUCCUGGAAUCCCAAUGAACCUUAGGUGAUUUGUUCUGUAUCAGAAGACAAUAUCAUGCAAGUAUGGCAAAUGGCAGAGAACAUUUAUAAUGAUGAAGACCCUGAAGGAAGUGUGGAUCCAGAAGGACAAGGAUCCUACAUAUGUCUUUACUUCCUGUGAUUUUAGACUCCCCUUUUUUCUUCUCAACCCUGAGAGUGAUUUAACACUGGUUUUGAGACAGACUUUGUUCAACUAUCCCUCUAUAUAAUAGGUACCACCAAUAAUGCUAUUAGCCCAAACAGUGGGUGUUUUCUAAAUAUUAAUGGGGGGGCUUCAUUCAGCAAAGCCACAGACUUACGUUGAAAUUUUCUUCAGGAAUUUUCUAGUAACCCAGGUCUAAAGUAGCUACAGAAGGGGGACUAUUAUGUGUGAUUAUUUUUCUUCUUAUGCCAUAUAUCCCCAAGUUUUUCAGACUCAUUUAAGUAAAGGCUAGAGUGAGUAAGGAAUAGAGCCAAAUGAGGUAGGUGUCUGAGCCAUGAAGUAUAAAUACUGAAAGAUGUCACUUUUAUUCAGGAAAUAGGGGAGAUUCAAGUCAUAUAGAUUCCUACUCGAAAAUCUUGACAUCUGACUUUCCAGGAUGCACAUUUUCAUAUGUAGACCAGUUUCCUCUUGGUUUCCUCAGUUAAGUCAAAACUACAUGUUCCUCUUUCCCCAUAUAUUCAUAUAUUUUUGCUCGUUAGUGUAUUUCUUGAGCUGUUUUCAUGUUGUUUCUUUCCUGUCUGUGAAAUGGUGUGUUUUUUUUUGUUGUUGUUGUUUUUAACUUGGGACCACCAAGUUGUAAAGAUGUAUAUUUUUACCAGACAGUUACACCACAGGCAGACUGUCAAGUUGAGAAGAGUGAAUCAAUAACUUGUAUUUGUUUUAAAAAUUAAAUUAAUCCUUGAUAAGAGUUGCUUUUUUUAGGAGUUAGUCCUUGACCACUAGUUUGAUGCCAUCUCCAUUUUGGGUGACCUGUUUCACCAGCAGGCCUGUUACUCUCCAUGACUAACUGUGUAAGUGCUUAAAAUGGAAUAAAUUGCUUUUCUACAUAAAAAAAAA